ensembl:misc_RNA Y_RNA Y RNA
AACUGGUCUGAUGGUAGUGGGUUAUCAGAAUUUAUUAACAUUAGUGUCACUAAAGUUGGUAUACAGCCCUCCACUGCUAAAUUUGACUGGCUUAAA